UCGCACGGCAGCACAGGUAGAGCUUGCUCUCUGGGUGGCGAGUGGCGGACGGGUGAGGAAUACAUCGGAAUCUACUUUUUCGUGGGGGAUAACGUAGGGAAACUUACGCUAAUACCGCAUACGACCUACGGGUGAAAGCAGGGGACCUUCGGGCCUUGCGCGAUUGAAUGAGCCGAUGUCGGAUUAGCUAGUUGGCGGGGUAAAGGCCCACCAAGGCGACGAUCCGUAGCUGGUCUGAGAGGAUGAUCAGCCACACUGGAACUGAGACACGGUCCAGACUCCUACGGGAGGCAGCAGUGGGGAAUAUUGGACAAUGGGCGCAAGCCUGAUCCAGCCAUACCGCGUGGGUGAAGAAGGCCUUCGGGUUGUAAAGCCCUUUUGUUGGGAAAGAAAUCCAGCCGGCUAAUACCUGGUUGGGAUGACGGUACCCAAAGAAUAAGCACCGGCUAACUUCGUGCCAGCAGCCGCGGUAAUACGAAGGGUGCAAGCGUUACUCGGAAUUACUGGGCGUAAAGCGUGCGUAGGUGGUCGUUUAAGUCUGUUGUGAAAGCCCUGGGCUCAACCUGGGAACUGCAGUGGAAACUGGACGACUAGAGUGUGGUAGAGGGUAGCGGAAUUCCUGGUGUAGCAGUGAAAUGCGUAGAGAUCAGGAGGAACAUCCAUGGCGAAGGCAGCUACCUGGACCAACACUGACACUGAGGCACGAAAGCGUGGGGAGCAAACAGGAUUAUAUACCCUGGUAGUCCACGCCCUAAACGAUGCGAACUGGAUGUUGGGUGCAAUUUGGCACGCAGUAUCGAAGCUAACGCGUUAAGUUCGCCGCCUGGGGAGUACGGUCGCAAGACUGAAACUCAAAGGAAUUGACGGGGGCCCGCACAAACGGUGGAGUAUGUGGUUUAAUUCGAUGCAACGCGAAGAACCUUACCUGGCCUUGACAUGUCGAGAACUUUCCAGAGAUGGAUAGGUGCCUUCGGGAACUCGAACACAGGUGCUGCAUGG
rnacentral:rRNA from 1 species